GGUCUUUUAUACAUAAAGAUAGAUGUUGAGAAAAGUGAGACAACCCCUAUUAGCAAUUUAGCACAUUGGAGAUGUUGAAUGGCUUGCAGCUGUCAUUGGCUGUAGGAUAAGGUCACUGCCUACGUUUGGCUCUUUCUUUAAGUUCUUCAUAAGCCAUAGGCAUUUUGGAUUCCAUACUGCUUGUCUUUGUCGUGAAGACUGGCGGGUUACAAUAAGUAAUACUUUUUCAGAGGGAGUUUAGAUUGGCAAUAAUUAUUAGUGUAAUGAGUCAUUGUACUUUCCAGAAGAUUCGUCGACCUGGGAUGAAGAGGAAGUUGUAACACUGUCACAUUUCUGUUUUAUUGAGGGACUGCAUGUAUUAUUUUUGUUGAGUGUGCUGGAAUAAUUUUAAUUUUGCUUUUGUAAUUUCGUUUCUGCUUGUGCUCCAAUUCUUUGGCAGGUUCCAUGUCUUAUCAGAUUUUGAUGAAGGUAAGCGAAGUUGUCGAAGAAAACUAGAGCGUCAUAAUAAUAGACGACGAAGGAAACCUACUAAUUCCAAAGGAGGGAUUAGAAAGGAAUCUCAAAGGGAAAUUCAAAUUGAAGAUACCAAUUGUGAUGGUGGAGCAGGAGAAGACAGUAUACGGUUAAGCAGUCAGUUAAAUGACAAGGAAGAAUUGCCGGAGUCUGAA